UACACAGGAGCCAAGCGUUGUCCGGAUUGACUGGGCGUAAAGCGCACGCAGGCGGACGCGCGCGUGGGGUGUGAAAUCUGGCCGCUUAACGGCCAGGCGCCAUCCCAUACGGCGCGUCUGGAGCAAUGCAGAGGUCGGUGGAAUUGCCGGUGUAGUGGUGAAAUGCGUAGAGAUCGGCAGGAACACCGGUGGCGAAAGCGGGCCGCUGGCCCUCUUCUGACGCUGAGGCGCGAAAGCCAGGGGAGCGAACGGG
rnacentral:rRNA from 1 species